GCAAUGGCGGUUUAGUGGUAGAAUUCUCCCUUUCUGUAUGAGAGACUAGGGUUCGAUUCCCAGCUAAUGCA
rnacentral:tRNA from 1 species